AAAUUGAAGAGUUUGAUCAUGGCUCAGAUUGAACGCUGGCGGCAGGCCUAACACAUGCAAGUCGAACGGUAACAGGAAGAAGCUUGCUUCUUUGCUGACGAGUGGCGGACGGGUGAGUAAUGUCUGGGAAACUGCCUGAUGGAGGGGGAUAACUACUGGAAACGGUAGCUAAUACCGCAUAACGUCGCAAGACCAAAGAGGGGGACCUUCGGGCCUCUUGCCAUCGGAUGUGCCCAGAUGGGAUUAGCUUGUUGGUGGGGUAACGGCUCACCAAGGCGACGAUCCCUAGCUGGUCUGAGAGGAUGACCAGCCACACUGGAACUGAGACACGGUCCAGACUCCUACGGGAGGCAGCAGUGGGGAAUAUUGCACAAUGGGCGCAAGCCUGAUGCAGCCAUGCCGCGUGUAUGAAGAAGGCCUUCGGGUUGUAAAGUACUUUCAGCGGGGAGGAAGGGAGUAAAGUUAAUACCUUUGCUCAUUGACGUUACCCGCAGAAGAAGCACCGGCUAACUCCGUGCCAGCAGCCGCGGUAAUACGGAGGGUGCAAGCGUUA
rnacentral:rRNA from 1 species